UCAAACUUGGUCAUUUAGAGGAAGUAAAAGUCGUAACAAGGUCUCCGUUGGUGAACCAGCGGAGGGAUCAUUACUGAAGUUACCUUCUAAACCAUCAUGUGAACCUUACCCCUGCCGCGCUGUUGCCUCGGCGGGACGCCGGAGCCCCGGCUCCGGCGCCGCCGGCAGCGCCAAACUCUACCUUGAAACAGCGGAAACGCACUCUGAUUUAGAAGCGAAAACAAGUCAAAACUUUCAACAACGGAUCUCUUGGUUCUGGCAUCGAUGAAGAACGCAGC
rnacentral:misc_RNA from 1 species